AGUGAACGCUGGCGGUAGGCCUAACACAUGCAAGUCGAACGGCAGCACAGUAAGAGCUUGCUCUUACGGGUGGCGAGUGGCGGACGGGUGAGGAAUACAUCGGAAUCUACUUUUCGUGGGGGAUAACGUAGGGAAACUUACGCUAAUACCGCAUACGACCUACGGGUGAAAGCAGGGGAUCGUCGGACCUUGCGCGAGUGAAUGAGCCGAUGUCGGAUUAGCUAGUUGGCGGGGUAAAGGCCCACCAAGGCGACGAUCCGUAGCUGGUCUGAGAGGAUGAUCAGCCACACUGGAACUGAGACACGGUCCAGACUCCUACGGGAGGCAGCAGUGGGGAAUAUUGGACAAUGGGCGCAAGCCUGAUCCAGCCAUACCGCGUGGGUGAAGAAGGCCUUCGGGUUGUAAAGCCCUUUUGUUGGGAAAGAAAAGCAGCAGGUUAAUACCCCGCUGUUCUGACGGUACCCAAAGAAUAAGCACCGGCUAACUUCGUG
rnacentral:rRNA from 1 species